rnacentral:rRNA from 1 species
CCUACGGGGUGCAGCAGGCGCGAAAACUCCGCAAUGCGCGAAAACGUGACGGGGGAACCCCAAGUGCCGUUGGUCUUCGGAUCGACGGCUUUUAGGAAGUCUAAGAAGCUUCCGGAAUAAGGGCUGGGCAAGUCUGGUGCCAGCCGCCGCGGUAAUACCAGCAGCCCAAGUGGUGGUUACGAUUAUUGGGCCUAAAGCGCUCGUAGCCGGGCCGCUAAGUCCCUUGUGAAAUCGGACGGCUCAACCGUUCGGCUUGCAAGGGAUACUGUCGGCCUUGAGAUCGGGAGAGGCAGGGGGUACUCGGGGGGUAGCGGUGAAAUGCUGUAAUCCCCUGGGGACCACCAGUGGCGAAGGCGCCCUGCCAGAACGAAUCUGACGGUAAGGGGCGAAGGCGUGGGGAGCGAACGGGAUUAGAUACCCCGGUAGUCCACGCAGUAAAGGAUGCGGGUUGGGUGUUGGGUGCCCCUCGAGAGCACCUUGUGCCGUAGGGAAGCCGUUAAACCCGCCGCCUGGGAAGUACGGUCGCAAGGCUGAAACUUAAAGGAAUUGGCGGGGGAGCAC